GGGCUUAUUAUCUCCACCCUGAUCACCGGGAAUGACGCGGUCGCUAUCUCCCUGAUGGUGUGUGCCGUGUUCUGUAAUCUAGUGGCCAUUCGACUCAAGUCUUACCUUGGUCUGUUAAACUUCUUCGGACUCCUGUGUCUAGCUGUGUUUGUGUUUUACAAGGAUUUGAGUAUUUCAGUGAAUCUGUUUGGAUUGGCUUGCUUCAUUGGGAGGCAUUCCUUUGAACCUGUCAUUGAUUUAUACUUCUCAGGGUUGUCCACAUUGGAAAGAUGGGAAUCGUUCUUCCGAGUGUCAAAGUUUUGGAGACAUGUAACAAUCUUUUUUAUAUUCAUACUCAAUUUAGUAACAGGAGGAAUUGUUGGUCGAUUGUCGGCCAAUCACAAAGAGUGGUUCAUUGUUGUGCCACUGUUUGUUGUAUUUGCUGUCCUCUGGCUGAGCUUUCAUUUUCUGUCCUUUGUCACAUGUUGGAAACUGAUGAACAGAAUCACCGAGUGUAACUUAACAUUUGCAAGUCUUCCUGAUGACAACAAAAACAUGAAUCAAAUCAUGGCCUCCAAAGGUGUUCGACAUUUCAGCUUGAUCUCGCAGCGAUUAAUCUGUAUCACCGUGGUAACGACUGUAACUCUGAUGGGGAUAGGAUGGACCACAAGGACGGCAUACAGCUUGAGCCUCAUUACCAUUCUGCUGCCCAUUGAGUGCCUGACCCUCAGUCUUUUCUGGGAGCUGGGGGCCUCUUUAGGGGGCACUGUUACAGGGUAUGCCAUCAUCGCCCCAAACACUGGCCAGAGUAGAAGGAACACUGGUGCUACCCUUCUUUCUGGUGCCCUGGUCCAGGAUAUCGGUUCUAGAGCCACUGCCUCCCUGAACAAGAUGAAUCAGUUCUUUUCCUAUCACAUGAUUGACAGCUACGGAUGUGACUAUUCAACCAGCGGGAUAUCUCCAGACAACAUAGAAACAAAAAUCAAGGCCUUCUUUGACCGCCGCACCAGUGAUGGUCCAAAGUUUGAUACCUAUGUCUUGUAUUUCUCAGGGGACACGUAUGAUACUGGGGACUGGGCCUUAACAGAUGGACAGUCCCUAAGCUUUCAAACUCUGCUUGACUGGUGGUCUAGCAGGAACAUGGAUACUGGUUCCCGCCUCAUACUGGUCCUGGAUACGAACCACUCUUAUCUGUGGGUGUCCCCGAUCAGGAGAGUGUACGACGAGUACGUCGCCAUACAGACAUGUAAAUACGUCAAGGCGUCGGACCCAGAAUCCUCCGAUGUUGCACGAGUCGGAAGUUUCACCAAGGAUUUUGUUGACUACAAUCAGGGGGAGGAAUUAGAGCAGAACUGGAACGACAAGAAGCGAAGUGUGACCGCGCUGUAUCAGGUGUCACGGUGCUGGACGGACUUCACAUUCCACCUCCCCACCCCCGGGGAAAUCACUGACCACUGGGACAGUAGCUUCCCCCGCCUACUCAAACCGUUGCUGAAGGCGGUGAACUUUGGAGGGGUAGGGAACCCUUGUUGUUGUGUGGGGUGUGUCAUGCGAUGUCUGAAGAGGAAGAAGAUGAAAUGGCUGCCCCCUAAGGAACUCAACACAGGGCACAGCUUUAAGUUAGUGCGCUCGUAGCUGUAAGGUAGCCCUUUACCUUUGAGAGGGGUAGUGGACAACAUCAGAUAAGAAAUUUUAAAAAAGAGGGCUACAUUUUUGCAGCUGGUCCUUUUCCAGAGAAAAAGAAUGUACAUUAUUGCUGUCUCUGAAAGAACUCAACAUUGGGUAAAGCUCGAAGUUAGUGUGUUCCUGGGUGAAGAAAGUGUAAUUGCUGUCUUUUCAAGGACUGAACACUUGGCAUAGCUUCAACUCAAUUUAGUACAUUCCUAAAGUAAGUGAAUGAAAUGGCUGUUCCUUAACAGAACUCAACAUGAGCCACAAGUUCAAAUUAGUGCAGACUUGGAGGUUUUAUUUCAGUGAGGGAGAUAUUAUUUAUUGGUCGGGUGGACCCUAAACCAGCACAAUCUUCUCGGUCAGGCAUAUUCUUGUUUGACUGUUAUAGUUGCAAUCAUUUGGUGAAAUAUGAACUUUGAUGUGUUUUACAUUAUUUUUAAUUAUAUCUUUAAAUAAUUUUAUUAUUUAUUUUCCUCUUAUGUUCUGUAUUUAAGGACGGCAUUGUGAGAUUUUAAUUCUGCAAUAAACAGGGGUACUACU
rnacentral:misc_RNA from 1 species